GGUUUCCGUAGGUGAACCUGCGGAAGGAUCAUUACCGAUGUGUAAUCCAAAAUCACGACUCCGUCGUGACUACCGUGUGAACCGUACCAAACUAUUCAGGGGUCGGCAAGUCCGUUAAAUGGCGGUCGGACGCCUGCACUGCGCGGCCGCUCCGCCAGCCCCGCCUGUGUUUUUUAACAUACCUGUCUUGUCUGAAAAAGGUGGCCACUGCCGUGGUCCAGAGCAAAGAAAAAAGAGAGACAACUUUUGACGGUGGAUCUCUUGGCUCACGCAUCGAUGAAGAACGCAGCCAGCUGCGAUAAGUAGUGUGAAUUGCAGAAUUCAGUGAAUCAUCGAAUCUUUGAACGCAAAUGGCGCUCUUGGGUUCUCCCAGGAGCAUGUCUGUCUGAGUGUCGGAUAUCAUCAAACGCACUUUACUCGUGCGGCGUUGAGGCGUCACGGCCCUUCUGGUGGCCGUGUCCCUUGAAAGUCAGCGAGACUCGCCGCGGCACGGGUUCGUUCCCUGCACACUCGCGGAGGCUAAAAACGCUUUUGCCCUUCGCGUGCACGGCAGCGACCCGUCCGCCGAGUCGCGGAGGCGAACACUUUCCAACUCUUGACCUCAGAUCAGG
rnacentral:rRNA from 1 species